UAGUAUGAGGUUGUACUACUAGUAUAGUAUGAGUGUGUACUACUAGUAUAGUAUGAGGUUAUACUACUAGUAUAGUAUGAGGUUGUACUACUAGUAUAGUAUGAGGUUGUACUACUAGUAUAGUAUGAGGUUGUACUACUAGUAUAGUAUGAGGUUGUACUACUAGUAUAGUAUGAGGUUGUACUGCUAGUAUAGUAGGAGGUUGUACUACUAGUAUAGUAUGAGGUUGUACUACUAGUAUAGUAUGAG